GAUGAACGCUGGCGGCGUGCCUAAUACAUGCAAGUCGAGCGAACGGACGAGAAGCUUGCUUCUCUGAUGUUAGCGGCGGACGGGUGAGUAACACGUGGAUAACCUACCUAUAAGACUGGGAUAACUUCGGGAAACCGGAGCUAAUACCGGAUAAUAUUUUGAACCGCAUGGUUCAAAAGUAAAAGACGGUCUUGCUGUCACUUAUAGAUGGAUCCGCGCUGCAUUAGCUAGUUGGUAAGGUAACGGCUUACCAAGGCAACGAUGCAUAGCCGACCUGAGAGGGUGAUCGGCCACACUGGAACUGAGACACGGUCCAGACUCCUACGGGAGGCAGCAGUAGGGAAUCUUCCGCAAUGGGCGAAAGCCUGACGGAGCAACGCCGCGUGAGUGGUGAAGGUCUUCGGAUCGUAAAACUCUGUUAUUAGGGAAGAACAUAUGUGUAAGUAACUGUGCACAUCUUGACGGUACCUAAUCAGAAAGCCACGGCUAACUACGUG
rnacentral:rRNA from 1 species